rnacentral:rRNA from 1 species
CGGUUGAUCCUGCCGGACCCUACUGCUAUCGGGGUGGGACUAAGACAUGCGAGUUGAGCGUCUCUAAGCUAUGGUAGAGACGCAGCGUACGGCUCAGUAACACGUGGCUAACCUACCCUUAGGACGGGGACAACCCCGGGAAACUGGGGCUAAUACCCGAUAGGCGAGGAGGCCUGGAAUGGUUCCUAGUCGAAAAGGCGUUGAAACCAUGCUUUUCGACGUCGCCUAAGGAUGGGGCCGCGCCCGAUCAGGUUGUUGGUGGGGUAACGGCUCACCAAGCCUAUAACCGGUACGGGCCGUGAGAGCGGGAGCCCGGAGAUGGGCACUGAGACAAGGGCCCAGGCCCUACGGGGCGCAGCAGUCGCGAAAACUCCGCAAUGCGCGAAAGCGUGACGGGGCUACCCCGAGUGCCGUCCGCUGAGGAUGGCUUUUCCCCGGUGUAAUGAGCCGGGGGAAUAAGGAGAGGGCAAGUCUGGUGUCAGCCGCCGCGGUAAUACCAGCUCUCCGAGUGGUAGGGAUGAUUAUUGGGCUUAAAGCGUCCGUAGCCGGCUUAGCAAGUCUCCUGUUAAAUUCAGCGACCUAAUCGUUGAGCCGCGGGAGAUACUACUAGGCUAGGAGGCGGGAGAGGCCGACGGUAUUCUCGGGGUAGGGGUGAAAUCCUAUAAUCCCGGGAGGACCACCAGUGGCGAAGGCUGUCGGCUAGAACGCGCUCGACGGUGAGGGACGAAAGCUGGGGGAGCGAACCGGAUUAGAUACCCGGGUAGUCCCAGCUGUAAACGAUGCGGGCUAGGUGUUGGGGUGGCUACGAGCCACUUCAGUGCCGCAGGGAAGCCAUUAAGCCCGCCGCCUGGGGAGUACGGCCGCAAGGCUGAAACUUAAAGGAAUUGGCGGGGGAGCAC